AGUGAACGCUGGCGGUAGGCCUAACACAUGCAAGUCGAACGGCAGCACAGUAAGAGCUUGCUCUUACGGGUGGCGAGUGGCGGACGGGUGAGGAAUACAUCGGAAUCUACUUUUUCGUGGGGGAUAACGUAGGGAAACUUACGCUAAUACCGCAUACGACCUACGGGCGAAAGCAGGGGAUCUUCGGACCUUGCGCGAUUGAAUGAGCCGAUGUCGGAUUAGCUAGUUGGCGGGGUAAAGGCCCACCAAGGCGACGAUCCGUAGCUGGUCUGAGAGGAUGAUCAGCCAAACUGGAACUGAGAACCGGUCCAGACUCCUACGGGAGGCAGCAGUGGGGAAUAUUGGACAAUGGGCGCAAGCCUGAUCCAGCCAUACCGCGUGGGUGAAGAAGGCCUUCGGGUUGUAAAGCCCUUUUGUUGGGAAAGAAAAGCAGCAGGUUAAUACCCCGCUGUUCUGACGGUACCCAAAGAAUAAGCACCGGCUAACUUCGU
rnacentral:rRNA from 1 species